rnacentral:rRNA from 1 species
UACGUAGGGCGCAAGCGUUAUCCGGAAUUAUUGGGCGUAAAGAGCGUGUAGGCGGCCCGGUAAGUCCGCUGUAAAAGUCAAAGGCUCAACCUUUGAAUGUCAGUGGAUACUGCCGGGCUAGAGUCCGGAAGAGGCGAGUGGAACUCCUGGUGUAGCGGUGGAAUGCGCAGAUAUCAGGAAGAACACCCGUGGCGAAGGCGGCUCUCUGGGACGGUAUUGACGCUGAGACGCGAAAGCGUGGGGAGCGAACAGG